rnacentral:rRNA from 1 species
GACGAACGCUGGCGGCGUGCUUAACACAUGCAAGUCGAACGCUGAAGCUCAGCUUUUGUUGGGUGGAUGAGUGGCGAACGGGUGAGUAACACGUGAGUAACCUGCCCCCUUCUUUGGGAUAACGCCCGGAAACGGGUGCUAAUACUGGAUAUUCACUGGUCUUCGCAUGGGGGUUGGUGGAAAGGGUUUUUCUGGUGGGGGAUGGGCUCGCGGCCUAUCAGCUUGUUGGUGGGGUGAUGGCCUACCAAGGCUUUGACGGGUAGCCGGCCUGAGAGGGUGAACGGGCAAAAUGGGAAGGGGAUACGGCCCAGACUCCUACGGGAGGCAGCAGGGGGGAAUAUUGGAAAAUGGGGGCAAGGCUGAUGCAGCGAAGCCGCGUGAGGGAUGGAGGCCUUCGGGUUGUGAACCUCUUUCGCUCAUGGUCAAGCCGCAACAAUGGUUGUGGUGAGGGUAGUGGGUAAAGAAGCGCCGGCUAACUACGUG